AAAACUUCCCCACUCUCCCCCUGGCCUCCUCCAUCGUUGGUCGCCUCUGGGCUCUGGCACUGCUACACCACCGCAUCGACGACGCCGCUCCUCCUCCACGAGGCUUCCUGCGCGUGUGGCCAUGGACGGAGCUCGCCCAGCCGCCCCCAGAGGCUGCCUUUGAGGUCGCCGUGCUCCUCGACCUCAACAUCGUCGCACUCGAGAGCCAACCCUCCCCUCUCCCUUUCCCUUGGCUGAUGCUGUCCCCGGCGGCACUGCUCUCCCGUGAGGAGUGAGCCUCAUCACCACGGUCAAGCCUGGUAUUUGGAAUAUCGGAAGAAAUUGGAUGAAAAAAAUCUGCUACUCAAAUUCGCCAGAAGAGUCCUAGUCGGGGAUGGCGAGAGGAGGAAGACAACGGGGAGCAUAGACCUCCGGAUCUCCAGUCCGCUUCUCCUCGGGAGGCUGUCGCAGUGCUCCUCGACCUCCUCACCUAGCUCCUGCCUUCCGUCACGCAGCUUGAGGAAGUACGCAGAGUUCUAGGUCGCUCUCCGAAAAAAAUGAGUUCUAGGUCGCUGCCGCUCCACGACCUCGGGGCAUGGCUCGUGGUCGGCCACUAGAUGCUCUUCGACUUGAUUUUUGGGUGCGAAGACACGUCAAGGCCAGGGAGGAGCAUGACUCUUGUAUCCUCUUUUUUUGUGUGGACUGGAAGGGGUUGCGGCUUGAUAGAUUUUGUAUAUUGCAUUCAAGAUUUGUGUUAUCAGUGAUUGUAAUUUUUUGUUGAUAGCUUACCAAGUUGACCACUUGGUUCAAGAUUUGUGUUAUGCUCGUUCUUAGCACUUUUCCGGUGAAGGGCAGGUACUAGAGAACUUAGUUUGUUCUUAGCCAAAGUGCUUUUUGAGUGAAGCAGACAACAUUGCUUAAAGUACUAACUGACUGAUUAAUAUUUUAGGAUUUGCAGUACUUA